rnacentral:rRNA from 1 species
AUUGAACGCUGGCGGCAGGCCUAACACAUGCAAGUCGAGCGAGCGGCGGACGGGUGAGUAAUGUCUGGGAUACUGCCUGAUGGAUGGGGAUAACUACUGGAAACGGUAGCAAAUCCCGCAUACCAUCAGAUGUGCCCAGAUGGGAUUCGCUUGUAGGUGGGGUAACGGCUCACCUAGGCGACGAUCCCUAGCGGGUCUGAGAGGCUGACCAGCCAAACUGGAACUGAGACACGGUCCAGACGCCUACGGGAGGCAGCAGUGGGGAAUAUUGCACAAUGGGCGCAAUACGGAUGCAGCCAUGCCGCGUGUGUGAAGAAGGCCUGCGGGUUGUAAAGCACUUUCAGCGGGGAGGCGUUACCCGCAGAAGAAGCACCGGCUAACUCCGUGCCAGCAGCCGCGGUAAUUC